AUGACCAGUGUGAAGGCUUUCACAGGUCUAACACCAACAUCAACCCUCAGUCACCGCCCAGAGGCUCAGGCACAGGAAAAUGACGGUGAAUUCCUCACAGGAGCUCAGGGUCCUGGUCAGCAUGCAUCCUUUAACUGCCCGGCUCCCUUCACAGGUUUUAUUUCUUUGGUUUACCCCGGAGGCCGGUGGAAAUGGGGCAGCAUCAAAGCUCCCCCUAAGGAAAAGCAGUCGGCAAUAAGGGGGAAAUUGACUGGGGAAGGGGUGUCCACAGGAUUCCCCGGAAGCCAGGCCUUCGGUCUGUUUUCAACAAAGGGUAGAUCCCGUGGCCUCUGGAACUCAGUGUAAAUCCACGUGCAUGAGUCCAGUCCUAGAAGUCAAGCCGGGGUGAAAGCCCUGUGCGGCACUUUUAGCGUGGGACAGCAGUGGCUAUACAGGGUUGCGGUUUUGUUUUAUUCUGAACUUGGUGGACCCGCGUUCUUGUUAGCCUCAGACCAAAUAAAGAUUUUAAAAAUUAAACAAGAAACAAUCAAGCUGGGCCCUUCCUUUCCAUCCCUACCAACCUCGGAGGGUCCUCUGUCCCAGCUGCUGCAGACACCAGGAGCCUCUUUCCCUACGUGAACGACGGAGGAGCGCCUGGCUCUGAAACGCAGCAGGCUUCUGAACAAAGGUGUCUGCGGCUUCAGAAACGCGGCCUUCGAAGGCCUGGGCCCGCCCUGGAUGUCCCCUUCGGCCCGGGCGCACUCACGCGUCCCCGCAGUCGCCUGCAGCUCCCCGAGACCCGCCUCCGCGGGGUGGGCGGCGCAGUGGGGCCUCACGGCGCCAGGACCCCCACGCCAGAACAAAGGAAUGCGGGAGGGGCUGGGAGCCGGCUGGCCACGAGCAGCCAGAGUCCAGCAGCCGCCCGGGGCGCGUCCCCCUCAAGGUCCCCGCCCGU
rnacentral:lncRNA from 1 species